rnacentral:rRNA from 1 species
UACGUAGGUGGCAAGCGUUGUCCGGAUUUACUGGGUGUAAAGGGCGUGUAGCCGGGAAGGCAAGUCAGAUGUGAAAUCCGGAGGCUCAACCUCCGAAUUGCAUUUGAAACUGUUUUUCUUGAGUACUGGAGAGGCAGACGGAAUUCCUUGUGUAGCGGUGAGAUGCGUAGAUAUUAGGAGGAACACCAGAGGCGAAGGCGGCUUACUGGACUGUAACUGACGUUGAGGCUCGAAAGCGUGGGGAGCAAACAGG